UACGUAGGGGGCAAGCGUUGUCCGGAAUCAUUGGGCGUAAAGAGCUCGUAGGCGGCUUGGCAAGUCGGGUGUGAAAACUCCAGGCUCAACCUGGAGACGCCACCCGAUACUGCCAUGGCUUGAGUCCGGUAGGGGACCACGGAAUUCCUGGUGUAGCGGUGAAAUGCGCAGAUAUCAGGAGGAACACCGGUGGCGAAGGCGGAUCUCUGGGCCAUUACUGACGCUGAGGAGCGAAAGCGUGGGGAGCGAACAGG
rnacentral:rRNA from 1 species